CUCCUGACUUAUGCAUCUAACAAAUCAUGGUAACAUAGCUUAGCUAAGAAAAAAAUACCCACGUACAUCAAAGGGCAUCAUGAACCCUUCAUAAUACAACACAGUUUCAAGAUAAACUCCUAAUAAACAAGAACAACAUAUACACCAGUAUAGCUGAUAAAAAAGAAACAAACACAAAUGGAAGAUGUUUUGGAGUUAUAGCAUCUUCUGGUACCGCAAAAGCUUGAAGGCCGAUGUCUCAAACCCAAAAGUGAGCGACCUGCAUAGUAGAUGUUAGGCAGUAGAUCCAGCUCAAAAGAAACGGCAAACGGUGACCCUGUUUAAAAAACAUCAGAUCCGAAAACAACUUACAAACAUAGGACGAAAAACAACUAAGAUUAAGAUAGAUCUAUAUUAACACUUAAAAUGGAGACCACACAGAGAAAUAAAGGCAGAUCUGGUGGAUCUGGCUUUCAAAGGGCCGAAUCCAGAUGGAGGGGUGGUGGGGGUUUCGGUGGCGGACGGUACAACGCAAGUGGUUGUAUGGGUGGUGGCUCACCACCACCACCGUUAACCGAAAGAAUCGCAGCAAACAGAGAACACAACAACGGUAUGCUUCACAUGAGAGAAAGCGUCAAAGAGUGGAGAGAGAGACGAGAAUGAAUGGUAGAAAAAACAGUGUUUAUUACACAAAAAAAAAACUAGCAACCUAGUGGAAGCGGCGGCUCUAGGGAAGAAACCCUAAACCGUGAAAACAACUCUUGAGCUAACACAGCGUGUAUAAACUUUAAACUUGCUCAUCAUUUAGCGCACUCCCCUUGAAUGUGAAUGGGUUUGUUGUUGGGUUAUGACAAAUUUGUAGGCUAGCUUAUUCCCAAGUUUGUUGGUUGUUUACGUCCCAAGUUUGAGCUUAGCAGCUUUCCCAUUGGCUUGGGGUGUGUUUAGUUUGGCGUUUGGAAACGCACAUCCAGUUUUGUUUUGCUAUGAUUUCCUAUAAGAUACAAAACAAAGCUUCUUCGUAAAAGCGAUGGCUUGCUGCAAAAAUCUACAUAGACGUAGUAAGCUUGCUGCAAAACCAAACAUAUAGUUAAUGAUUUAUAAUUGUUGAAUAGUGGAGAAACAAGAUCAAAGGGUGGCAUUCCGUAAAAAAAAUAAUUAUAAUAAUCAAAGGAUGGCAUGAAAAGUUGUUUACUUGUAUUAUUUUUCUUUGGACUGAAUGUUGUGUGACAAAAAAUGAAAACUAGAUUUGCAUAUGGCUCAUGUGAAAAUUGAUAUUAUUACGUGCA
rnacentral:lncRNA from 1 species